rnacentral:rRNA from 1 species
GACGAACGCUGGCGGCGUGCCUAAUACAUGCAAGUUGAGCGCUGAAGGUUGGUACUUGUACCAACUGGAUGAGCAGCGAACGGGUGAGUAACGCGUGGGGAAUCUGCCUUUGAGCGGGGGACAACAUUUGGAAACGAAUGCUAAUACCGCAUAAAAACUUUAAACACAAGUUUUAAGUUUGAAAGAUGCAAUUGCAUCACUCAAAGAUGAUCCCGCGUUGUAUUAGCUAGUUGGUGAGGUAAAGGCUCACCAAGGCGAUGAUACAUAACCGACCUGAGAGGGUGAUCGGCCACAUUGGGACUGAGACACGGCCCAAACUCCUACGGGAGGCAGCAGUAGGGAAUCUUCGGCAAUGGACGAAAGUCUGACCGAGCAACGCCGCGUGAGGGAAGAAGGUUUUCGGAUCGUAAAACUCUGUUGGUAGAGAAGAACGUUGGUGAGAGUGGAAAGCUCAUCAAGUGACGGUAACUACCCAGAAAGGGACGGCUAACUACGUG